GAGAAAUUAUUUGUACAGAAGAGGUUCAAAGGAAUAAUCUUAACCAUAGUAAAUGCAACAGUAUCUCCGGGAUGUCAGCUGAUGGCCAGGUCAGUAGGAGCCAGGACCAAGUCCAGCUGGAUUAAUGAAUGGAUGCUGAAGACCCAGAACAGAGGAGAUAACUGUACCUGAAGCUAAUCACCAACACAGUCUUGUGUGAAAGAGCAGGUCUGUUAGGGAGAUGGAUAAAGAAAUGCCAUUUCCUUGGCACAUGGCAGAGCAGUGUGAGCUAGUCAUGGAUCACUAGCGAGUCAUGGGGCUGGGAUUGGCAACCACAUUUGCUCGCUGGGUGCAGAAGAGGAAGAAUUGGAGACAAAGAGAGGGACAGUAUUCCCUGUAGGUCAUACAGCACAUGAAGGCUGGCGAGUCAAGUGCUCUGGCUGUGGACUCCUUCUUCAGAAUCAUUUGAACAAGAAGGCAGCCUACUUUGAUGCCUGGAAUGCCUUUGUGAUGGCCGGCCAUCCAGUAGCCAUCUUGGAACACGAGUCAAGUUUCACGAGUCAAGUUUGAGGAUGGAAGCAAAAUGCUAAAAUUGUGGGAUUAGUGGACUCUGGUAACCAUGGAGCUGUACCUUCUCUUGACUGUUUACUUCAGAUCUCUUCUACUUGAGAGAUAAAAGCUUCUGUCUUUGAAACUUUCACCAUUUGGGGGGGCUUUGGCCAAAAAAGCCAAAUUUAAUACUAACUGAUCAAAGAUGAAAUAUCCGUUUAGAGUGCUUUUGGGUAUCAGUAACAGUAAACAAAACUUAUGGAAGCUUAAACAUAGGGUUCAAGAAUUAUGUGGCUGUUGGAUGAUGCUAUUCAGAGCCCAAGUUCUCUCCAGCCUUCUGUCCUUCCACCCUUAGCAUGCUGGCCUUUAUCCUCAUGCCUGACACCUCAUGGUUGCAAGAUGGCUGCUGUAGCUCCAGGCAUUAUGUCCACACAGCAGGGAAGAGAUGGAAGAGUCAAAGUUUGCUUCUCACAAGGUGUUGUCUUUUUAUUUGGAAAGGAAAUUUCUUCCCAGAAGAUUUCCACUAACAUCCCACUAUUAUAAAACUGUGCCUUCUAUAUCUAUGGUGAGAUCCAUCCUUCUGAAACCAAGAGAUCUCUGUCAGCUACCGAAAUAAAUUGGAUUCUGUUACUAGGGAAGAAGGAAAUGGGGAGAGUGUGUGGCUAGGUCAUGGACAGCGAGGAAUCCAAGGCUGAGAGAUGAAAUGACAUGCUCCUAUUUUAGAGGAGCAGGUAGAAGGUAGGUUUUGAAUGAACGUCAAAUCCUGAAGCCUGGGAUCUUAACCACUUUGGUAAACUGCUCUUGGAAGACCUUACACAUCUUAGCUUCCCCUUCCUCAAGUUUCAUUUUUACACUCUGUUAGGAAUUUUAUACAAAAAGUUCUAGCUGAAAUGGCCUAUAGAACUAGAGUGACCUAAGAGGCUCCUUCCAAUUUGAACUUAAGAAGCAGCUCUGUCUAAAAGAAAUUUUGAAAUCAUGAAAAUGUUCUAUGCUAUGCUAUUUAAUAUGGUAGCCACUAGCCAUGGGUCUGGGGGUCUGAAAUAGGGCAUUCAUGACUAAAGAACUGAAUUAUUUUAUGCCAUUAUAAUUAAUGUAAAUUAAAAUAGCCACACAUGGCUAGUGGCUACGAUAUGGAACAGUGCAGUUCCAGAACCUCAAAAUACUGGUUCCCAGAAUACCCCCAGAGGUUAAGAAUCAACAAAAUUCCACUCCCUGAACAGAUCCUUUUGUUUUGUUUUUAGGAAAUUAAGGCCCACUGUUGCUUUGCAUAAAGUGGUGGUAAAGGCCAGUAUAGGUCAUUAUUUUAUGAAAGAAGUUUGGUGUAGACAUAGCCAUGUUAUCAACAUCAAUAUAAAGGAUUGGCCUGUGAAAAUUAUUGAUUUAUGGAGCUCCAAGUUUACUGACAGCAAGUCAGGCUUAUUUUUCUGAAGUUACAGGAGGCCAGGUCUUUUGGCCUAACAGAAGAAGAAAGCUGUAAUAAGCAGGGCUGGCCCCCAGUGGCACAGGGUUAGCAGGGAGGAGUAGUGAGCCUCCCAUUAGUUCCCAUGCUGGACUGGUGGUACUAUUUUAAGUUGCAGAAGCCUAUAAUGACUUUCUUCUGAGUCAGUAAUAAGUUUAAAUCUUUAGUUUCCAGGACACAGUUUGCUUAAAUGCUUUAUUAUUUAAUAUUGAAUCCAAGGAGAUGACAAUAUGUUAAGAUGUGUCCAUCUGGCAGCAGCCCGGAUGACUCAGACCUCUGAAAAGCAGGAAAUGUUGUCUUUUGCAUCUGUUAAUUUGGUUCGGGAGGCAAAACCCUGCUAGCUGGAUAUUUUCGUUUCUUACUGUGAGAUUAUGGAUCUGCAGACCUAUAUCAGAGAAAUAAGACAAAUCUGUUUUAAUUUAUUAGCCUUGCCCAUGUUCCAAACCCGUCCCCUUCCAGUGACAACACUAGCAAGAGUCUGAUGAGCGCAGAGUGCUGGGGGACUAGAUCCAUCUUGCUGUUCUCUGUGGGGGGUGGUGGUGGGGGAGAAGCCCGGGAAUCUAUCUUGGGAAUCCUUACUCUCAGAUUUUCUGACAACGCUCUGUAGCCUGACUUCCAAAAUUGGCAUUGGGAAAACCCCAGACAGCAUCUAACUAGCGAAACUGUAUUAUUUUGGGCUUUGCUCGCUGUCCCUUAGGUUCACGGCACAGAUUUUUUUCACAGCACUUAUGUUCGUUCUGCUUUGCUGUACCAGGCUUCCUACCGAGUGGGAAGUGUCCCAUCGAGGACAUGAUUGGCUGAAGGGACUCGGAGCUUCUCGGUGCACCGUGAUAAGUUGGCACAAGAAAUGAGGACCUACAGAAUGGAGCGUUACUCACCCCGGGUGUCAGGUUGGCUCGAGUUCUUCCAUUCUGAAUAGCAUCGCAGGUGACCACUUCGAUUGGCUCGUUGGCCCUUUCACCAUUCCCUUGAGCUCUGCAUAUUUCCUGUGCUGUUCCUCCAACCAGAGUGGGUUCCAAGUGCCAUACUCAAAGCAGCCCUGUCUGCCUCUCAGGAGCCAAGGUGUGCACAUCUGGGCCCCUUAAUUUCUGCAGGGCCGCCCCAUAGAAGUUCUCCGUUAGUCACGAGGCCACACGUCUUUUUUGUCUGGCCUUAACUUUCUAUUCUUGAUCACCGUGGUCUUAUUUGGAAAUCUCAGGAUAAAUGCGGUAAAUCCCAUCAGCUUUUCACGUCCUGUAAUUGCAGGAACAGCCCCAUUUCUGUGUGAAUAAAUCACUCAGAGCAAGGAAGAACGCACUAGUGCAGACUGAGCUCUCAACAGGAAUGGGUGCCAAUUUGCAAACAUGGUCAUUAAGAAAAAACAACAACACCUUAUUGAAAUAUGUAUGUUGACGUCCGGUAUUACCAUUUUGGCAAAAACCUUCAUGCAAUAUGCAAGAUCUUAGAUGACAAGCAGUGCAGUAUGGGAGUUGUGAGUGAUGUCUGUAUUUAACAAUAAUAAUGAUUAUUUAGUAAAUCCAAAAACUAAAGUUGAAAAACUUUCUUUACCCUCCACCUUAAAAUUAAGAAACAGAUGGCCAUCUGUAGCCAUAUAUUUCUUGUUGUUGCAAGUAAAUGCAGCCACAGGAGCUUAUUUUAUGCUAAAAGCCUCCAUCUGCUAGAUGUAAUCUUUUCGUACCUGUGGAAAAAUGAAUAAAAUAAGAAGGACCCGCUCGCUUCUGACCUUGACUCUCAGACAGAUUAUGCAUCUAAGAUUCUUGCCUUUCCUCCUUGACAGGUGUUAACUCUGAAAUGAUAGCACUGUAGACUUUUGACAGUUUCAUCCUUUUACCUAAAUGGGAGCAAAUUUGGCUUAAUAAUAUUUCUGGUUGGCAUAUGUUUCGCAGCUACACAGGGAGUGGAUUUUCCUUUAAUGAGCAAUACAUUGUGUCCUCCACAGCAUCUUUUCUUCUUGUAAAAAUGCUCGAACAUGCUUUGCCUCUCUGGUCUCUUUGCCAAGCAUAAAUGAGAAAUCGUUAUAAAUAA